AAUCAAUCUAAGGAAAAAUGUUCCUCAAAUAUUCUUAUCUCUCUCUCUUGGAUUCUCUCACAUAUCUCUCUUAGUUCUUCACCAAAAUCUCUCAAAUAAUUCUCAUAAACUCUCAUUAAUUUUCAUAAUUCAACAAUGAUGCUGAUGGAAAAGAAAUAGAGGCCAUUCAGUUUUUUAUACUGAUCUAAUGUAUAAUACGGAUUGAAGAUGUCGUGAUCUUGUUUGAGUUAAGAAAAAAAAUAUCUUUUGCAUGUGGAUGAUGUUGAUCAAUACAUAGAAAUGUAAAUGAUGUAACUAUGAUAUCUAUGGGUUUGGAGUUUGAACUGAGAGGUAAUUUCUUUUAUAUUUGAAAUGAUGGAAUUUGAACAAGAAUUGAUCGACGAUUUAAAUGUAUGAUCUGAAAGGUAGAAGUUUUGAUCUUUUUUAGUUUAACAUAGAUCUAGUAUGUAUGUGGAUGAUCUUGAUCAAUACAUAAAAUGAUGUAGUUAUUAUAUCUUUGAGUUUGAAGUUUGAAUAUAAAUGUACUGGAUUAUACUUGGGAUGCGACUUCAACAAGAAUUAAUCUUGGGUGAUCAAGAUAUAUGCUGUAGAGAAGAAAAGUCUACAUGAAAGAGAGGUUACAUGAAAGGGAAGUGAAAGAGGAGAAAGAGCCUCCCCGGUUGUGAGGAAACCGAUCGAACUGCCGAAAAGGCUGAGCGAAAGUUAACGCGGCGGAGAGACUCUUGCGAUCAAUACUUGGAACUGUACGUCAACCAUUUCAGCGACUCGUGGACUGAAGUGAUGAUCACUGACUCAUAGAUUGAAAUGAUGAUCUUGGAUUGAGUAACUACAAGAAGUCAACAAAAGCGUGGUUGUCAAAGAAUCUAUCAGCACAAGCUAACGUGGGUUAUGACGCACUCACCAUUACUCUUGAGUCUUGAGACUUUCGAGAGUCUGACAAGUGCCACUCACCGCUUGUUUCCAGUGGCUUAAGGUGCUUCUUGGGGAUUGAGGAAAGAGCACGAGACAUAUUCUUCUUCAUAGUAAAUAUAGGACAUGCUUUAAAGAUUUGUGAAUACAGUGAAUACAGUGUCCUUUGCGACAGGAUUUUUUUUUUGCUUUAACUGGUCUUGUACAGCAUUGUUUUUUUUUUUUUUUUUUUUUUUAAAUGGUCUUAAGACAUUCUAAAUGACUAUUACAGAUUUACAGUGUUACAGUUUUUAUUGUUAUACAUUACAUGAGGAGUUCUUGUGUAAUGAUUUUAAGAAGAUGUUUAGGUUUAGUGGCUGUUUUCAGCUAAUGGGUUCAUUAGACUUGAGGUUUAGGGUUGAUGCUGGAUCUGGAACAUUUUGUUGUCGCUUCGAAUGAAGACGACUGAAAGGGCGUUGUAGGCUUAUAUUGUUCCGUGAACCUGUAUACCGAGAGACAGGGCAAACGAUCUGACAAAUUUAGAGAUAUUAAAGGUGUGUA